rnacentral:rRNA from 1 species
GAUGAACGCUGGCGGCGUGCCUAAUACAUGCAAGUCGAGCGAACAGACGAGGAGCUUGCUCCUCUGACGUUAGCGGCGGACGGGUGAGUAACACGUGGAUAACCUACCUAUAAGACUGGGAUAACUUCGGGAAACCGGAGCUAAUACCGGAUAAUAUCUUGAACCGUAUGGUUCAAUAGUGAAAGACGGUUUUGCUUUCACUUAUAGAUGUACCCGCGCCGCAUUAGCGAGUUGGUAAGGUAACGCCUUACCAAGGCAACGAUGCUUAGCCGCCCUGAGAGGGUGAUCGGCCACACUGGAACUGAGACACGGUCCAGACUCCUACGGGGGGCAGCAGUAGGGAAUCUUCGGCAAUGGGCGAAAGCCGGACGGAGCAACGCCGCGUGAGUGAUGAAGGUCUUCGGAUCGUAAAACUCUGUUAUUAGGGAAGAACAAAUGUGUAAGUAACUAUGCACGUCUUGACGGUACCUAAUCAGAAAGCCACGGCUAACUACGUG